rnacentral:lncRNA from 1 species
CCUUCCCCAGUGGCAAAUGUUCGUAUUGAUCACAUCAGCACAGUAACAGCAGAGGUAAGAAUACGGCAUCAAUAGAAUUGCAGUGCAAAGCUGAUGUGGAAACAUGGAAAUGUACUUAAUUACUAUCUACAGAACAUAAUGGGGCGUCGCCUUUGUUGACAUCUACAAUGAAAAGAUGCAGUCGUGUAUUGUGACUUCAUUUCAAGGUGAUAUCCCACUGUGCUCCUUUUGUUCGUUCUCUUUUCGGAAAAAGUCGUGAUCAGCCUUUGCCGACCGUUGGUUACAUUGUAGGUCUGGUAGUUCUGAUUGAUUUUGUACUUGUUGUCGAAAAAAAAAACUUCACCAGUAGUAAUAUGCACUAAUGUCCCGCUGUAGCUUGAAUUUACAGUAAAUAAAGGGAUAAAUGAAUGUUUUCAACGUGAAAUGAAUGCAUUUCUAUUAUCGUACUGAAUUGCCAACGCAUAACAAUCAUUGAUCGAUGUAUGAUUGUUAACUAUGUUUAGCACUGAGCAAUAAACACGAACACGAAUUUUAGUUUCUGGUAACACUAUCCCUAAAACAUUAAAAGUAAAUUUAGAAGAUCCGUUAUAUGUUCUUAGACUUGCAUACACAGUUAGAGCGGUGCCCGUUUCCACGCACACAUGUGUACUGUAUUAACAAUGAAUUUUCCUUUGUCUCCAUGACCAAUUACGAUUUGAACAUUUAAUUCAGACAAAGCAAUUUUUGAUCUGUCUUUGUUACAAAAAUGUAAAAGCAGAACUGCUUCUUUUAUGAUUUACAAGCAAAUCUUAUAGCUACAUAGAUGUUCAACAUUGUGCUCAAUUUUGACGCAAAACGGUGGACUUCGAUAGAAAUCGGAUAUUAAUGGCAUUCAACAUUCCGCAUUUGGGUAAUAAACUAACACAUAAGGAAUGCUUGUUUCUUGUAACACUAUCCAGAAAACAUAAAUAAGAAGUUCUAAGACGUUGAUACACAUUGGCAGCGGUGUCCAUUUCGACCUUCAACUUUGAACAUUAACAACAAUGAAUUUUCCUUCGUCACAAUGACCAUUAAGAUUGAAACAUUUAAUUUAAACUAAGAAAUGUUGGAUCUGUCUUUGUAACACGAAAUGUAAUACAAUAACUGCCUCCUUUCUUAUUUAAAAACAACUCAUAGAGGUGCACAGAUUGUCAGCAUUGCGCACAAUUUUGACGCGAAGCAGCAUUUUUCAGUAACAGUACACGUUCAAAACUUUAUCAGUUUCAUGACACAUCUUUGGCUAGAUAUGUACAAGGCGUAAACAAAUAAUUGACUGUCGAUCAAACAGAAUAUUCUCAGAAACAUGCACUGUUGCAUUCUGAUCUAAAGCGUUGUGCCCAUAUGUGAUGCAAAACAACAUAUUUCACUAAAUGCACAUGUUCAAAAUUCUGUAAAAUUACACAAUGCUUCAUUGAUUUAGUGUGUGCAAGACAUUAAACACCAUAAUGACAGUAAUUAGAGUAGUCUGCGAAACAACUAUAACAUUCAGAAUCAAUUCACCGCGUCCAACGUACAGAUAGUACAGUCACAACUGUGCAUUGAACAAAAUGAAAGUGAAACGUUCUUUUGGUUUUUUGGAGCAUUAUCGAAUUGUUUACAGGACUUGGAAUUAUCAAAAUGAAAAGAUAUAUGCUAGUUUAGAGAGAUAAACCAGUUAGUGUUUAGCCGUAUGAAAUUGUGACAGAUCAUCAUCACAUAUAUUUACGGAAAAUAAGACCGCCUAUCCAUUUAGACAAAAUUGAUCUCGAACAACUUCUCCUAGUGCAUACUCAAGGACCAGACACACAAAGAGCCGAUAUCAUUUUGGAUGCCUCCUAACAUUAUUUAUAAAUUAGACAAUGGUGCAAGACCGUGUGUUGUCGAUGGGGCGGUAGAGUUCGAACUUCAAACAUGUAUCCGUUGUUCUACAUAGUUGUGUAUCACAUCAAAUGUAGUGUUUGGACGUCUUGUAGUCCAAACGUAAGAUGUGGACACAUAACGAACGUGCCCAAUAUGUAGUGUAUUAGUGAAAGUUCGUAUCAAAGAAUGUCGGUCCUAGACAUGUCAAAUAAACACAUGCAUAAAAAUU